CCCUCUCCGAGCCCGAGCUCGAUCUCCUCAUCAGCCUGAAGAUGCUGGCCGUGAAGCGGGCCGAGACGGCCGGCCGCCCCCACCUCGCCGACGCCUUCGAUCUGCGCACACUGCGGGCCCUCGGUGUUGUUUUGCUGGAAGAUUUCAAACAACGGCUAAGAGAAGAAACCUCACUCAAUGCAACCGGUCUUGAUAAACUUGCGCUAUCGAGGGAUCCUGAUGCG